GUGUUGUGCUACCUUAAAAUACAAAUAUUUAUUGUUAGUAUAAAAUUUCCUAAUGCUUAAGGCUUUUGGUAAUCUUAAAAGGCUAGUUGAUUUUGAAAGUUGUUUCUUAUUUUGACAGUUGUGCUUAUGGAAUUUGUAUUUAUAUCUCAAUUUUUCAUCAAAUCUUUGAAAAUGAUCGUAUCCAGUGUGAUCUACAAAGCAAUCACAUCCUUUAGGACCGUUUGUGUCUUCAUCUUUUCUGAAUCUUUCCGGUUUUCAUCCUCAUUGUAAUUACUAGAAUAUUUCUGAUUCAAAAUCAGAUACGGUCAUGACAUCAGCCGUAU
rnacentral:lncRNA from 1 species